CGGAUAGCUCAGUCGGUAGAGCAUUGGCC
rnacentral:ncRNA from 2 species